rnacentral:rRNA from 1 species
UACGUAGGGGGCUAGCGUUGUCCGGAUUUAUUGGGCGUAAAGAGCGUGUAGGCGGCCAGGUAGGUCUGCUGUGAAAACUCGAGGCUCAACCUCGAGACGUCGGCGGAAACCAUCUGGCUAGAGUUCGGAAGAGGCGAGUGGAAUUCCCGGUGUAGCGGUGAAAUGCGCAGAUAUCGGGAGGAACACCGGUGGCGAAGGCGGUUCUCUGGGCCUUACCUGACGCUGAGGAGCGAAAGCGUGGGGAGCGAACAGG